rnacentral:rRNA from 1 species
UAGGGAAUCUUCCACAAUGGACGCGAGUCUGAUGGAGCAACGCCGCGUGAGUGAAGAAGGUUUUCGGACCGUAAAGCUCUGUUGUUGGUGAAGAAGGAUAGAGGUAGUAACUGGCCUUUAUUUGACGGUAAUCAACCAGAAAGUCACGGCUAACUACGUGCCAGCAGCCGCGGUAAUACGUAGGUGGCAAGCGUUGUCCGGAUUUAUUGGGCGUAAAGCGAGCGCAGGCGGAAGAAUAAGUCUGAUGUGAAAGCCCUCGGCUUAACCGAGGAAUUGCAUCGGAAACUGUUUUUCUUGAGUGCAGAAGAGGAGAGUAGAACUCCAUGUGUAGCGGUGGAAUGCGUAGAUAUAUGGAAGAAUACCAGUGGCGAAGGCGGCUCUCUGGUCUGCAACUGACGCUGAGGCUCGAAAAGCAUGGGUAGCGAACAGGAUUAGAUACCCUGGUAGUCCAUGCCGUAAAACGAUGAGUGCUAAGUGUUGGGAGGCUUCUGCCUCUCAGUGCUGCAGCUAAACGCAUUAAGCACUCCGCCUGGGGGAGUACGACCGCAAAGGUUGAAAAC